rnacentral:rRNA from 1 species
AUUGAACGCUGGCGGCAUGCUUUACACAUGCAAGUCGAACGGUAACAGGUUAAGCUGACGAGUGGCGAACGGGUGAGUAAUGCAUCGGAACGUGCCCGAUCGUGGGGGAUAACGCAGCGAAAGCUGCGCUAAUACCGCAUACGAUCUGAGGAUGAAAGCGGGGGACCGUAAGGCCUCGCGCGAUCGGAGCGGCCGAUGUCAGAUUAGGUAGUUGGUGGGGUAAAGGCUCACCAAGCCAACGAUCUGUAGCUGGUCUGAGAGGACGACCAGCCUCACUGGGACUGAGACACGGCCCAGACUCCUACGGGAGGCAGCAGUGGGGAAUUUUGGACAAUGGGCGAAAGCCUGAUCCAGCAAUGCUGCGUGCAGGAAGAAGGCCUUCGGGUUGUAAACUGCUUUUGUACGGAGCGAAAAGGCUCUCUCUAAUACAGGGGGCUCAUGACGGUACCGUAAGAAUAAGCACCGGCUAACUACGUGCCAGCAGCCGCGGUAA